rnacentral:rRNA from 1 species
AACGAACGCUGGCGGCAUGCCUAACACAUGCAAGUCGAACGAGACCUUCGGGUCUAGUGGCGCACGGGUGCGUAACGCGUGGGAACCUGCCCUUAGGUUCGGAAUAACUCCCCGAAAGGGGUGCUAAUACCGGAUAAUGUCUUCGGACCAAAGAUUUAUUGCUUUUGGAUGGGCCCGCGUUGGAUUAGCUAGUUGGUAGGGUAAAAGCCUACCAAGGCGACGAUCCAUAGCUGGUGUGAGAGGAUGAUCAUCGACACUGGGACUGAGACACGGCCCAGACUCCUACGGAAGGCAGCAGAGGGGAAUAUUGGACAAUGGGCGAAAGCCUGAUCCAGCAAUGCCGCGUAAGUGAUGAAGGCCGUAGGGUUGUAAAGCUCUUUUACCCGGGAUGAUAAUGACAGUACCGGGAGAAUAAGCUCCGGCUAACUCCGUG